rnacentral:other from 1 species
UUACCCCUGCCGUGCGCGUGAUUGGCGGGAGAGUUUGAGCCAACACAUGUAGAACGGGGUCCCUUCCUGGCGGCGGUGAGCAUGCCCCCACGGGGGAAGCCUGAAGCCGCCAUAACCAGGGAUCCCACCUGGUGAGAGCCAGGUUCGACUCUAUCGUCGACACGGCACAGAGCAGGGGUUUU